rnacentral:tRNA from 1 species
CGGUGUAGCUCAGGGGUAGAGCAACUGAUUCGUAAUCAGUAGGUCGCAGGUUCAAUUCCCGUCACCGGC